GGACUGGUGGCCGAGCGGUUGAAGGCGCACGCCUGGAAAGUGUGUAUAGGUGAAAGUCUAUCGAGGGUUCGAAUCCCUCUCAGUCCGCCA
rnacentral:tRNA from 1 species